rnacentral:rRNA from 1 species
GCCGUGUGGCGUAUGCGUAGCGAAAGCGAGUCCGAAUAGGGCGUUUUCAGUCGCUUGUCCUGGACCCGAAGCGGGAUGAUCUAGCCCUGGGCAGGUUGAAGCGCGGGUAAGACCGCGUGGAGGACCGAACCCACCUGGGUUGAAAACCGGGGGGAUGACCUGGGGCUAGGGGUGAAAGGCCAAUCAAAUUCCGUGAUAGCUGGUUCUCUCCGAAAUGCAUUUAGGUGCAGCGUCGGUUGAUUGCAUCGCGGGGGUAGAGCUACUGGAUGCUUGCGGGCCCGUGUCGGGUACCAAUAGCAGCCAAACUCCGAAUACCGUGGAUGUGUAUUCCGGCAGUGAGUCGGCGGGGGAUAAGCUCCGUCGUCGAGAGGGAGACAGCCCAGAUCGUCGUCUAAGGUCCCGAAGCGUGUGCUAAGUGGGAAAGGAUGUGGAGUCGCAUAGACAGCCAGGAGGUUGGCUCAGAAGCAGCCAUCCUUGAAAGAGUGCGUAACAGCUCACUGGUCUAGUGGUUCCGCGCCGACAAUGUAGCGGGGCUCAAGCACACCACCGAAGACGCGGCAGCGGCCUUUGCGGCCGUUGGGUAGGAGAGCGUCCCGCGUGGGGCGAAGCGGCCGGGGAACCGUGCCGUGGACCGCGCGGGAGUGAGAAUGCAGACAUGAGUAGCGAGAGACGGGUGAGGAUCCCGUCCGCUGGAUGACCAAGGGUUCCGGGGCCACGUUCGUCGUCCCCGGGUGAGUCGUGUCCUAAGGCGAGGCCGACAGGCGUAGUCGAAUGGAUGAACGGGUGGAUAUUCCCGUACCGGCGGCGUACCGUAAGAGCCGAACGGAUGAGUACUAACCUCCGGUCGCGUGGCGUCGUUCCCUUCGGGGUUCGGGGCGCGUGGCUGUUGGGAGCGUAGUCCUGGUAGGCUAGCGCACAGGGGUGACACGGAAUGGGAGCCGGCCGCGGAGGUGGUUUUCCGUGGUCAAGCACGCAGCCAGUCAUGUAGGCAAAUCCGCAUGGCAUGCAUGGCGAGGUGUGAUGAUGGGAGCCGUUAUGGCUCGAUAUCCGGUUGUCCAGGCCGUCGAGAAAAGCCUCGGCGUGAGGGCCAUGGCCGCCCGUACCCCAAACCGACACUGGUGGUCAGGUAGAGAAUACCAAGGCGAUCGAGCGAAUCCUGGUCAAGGAACUCGGCAAAUCACUCCCGUGCCUUCGGUAUAAGGGAGACCCCCGGGCGUGAAGAGGCUUGCCCUCGGAGCGUUGGGGGGUGGCACAGACCAGGGGGUAGCGACUGUUUACCAAAAACACAGGUGCAUGCGAAGGCGCAAGCCGCUGUAUAUGCACUGACGCCUGCCCGGUGCCGGAAGGUUAAGAGGAUCCGUCAAUCCCUUCGGGGACGAAGCGGUGAAUUCAAGCCCCGGUAAACGGCGGUGGUAACUAUAACCAUCCUAAGGUAGCGAAAUUCCUUGUCGGGUAAGUUCCGACCUGCACGAAUGGCGUAACGACUUCCCCACUGUCUCGACCAGGAGCUCGGCGAAAUUGCAGUACGAGUAAAGAUGCUCGUUAAGCGCAGAAGGACGAAAAGACCCCGGGACCUUUACUAUACCUUGGUAUUGGCGUUAGGCGCGGAUUGUGUAGCAUAGGCGGGAGGCUUCGAAGCGGUGGCGCCAGCCAUCGUGGAGCCGCAAGGUGAAAUACCGCUCUGUUCUCGUUUGACGUCUCACCUCGAACAGUCAUCCUGUUCAGGGACAGUGCCUGGCGGGUAGUUUAACUGGGGCGGUUGCCUCCCAAAGAGUAACGGAGGCGCUCAAAGGUCCGCUCAGCCCGGUUGGCAAUCGGGUUUCGAGUGUAAUCGCACAAGCGGGCUUGACUGCGAGAACGACGGUUCGGGCAGGGACGAAAGUCGGAGAUAGUGAUCCGGUGCCGGCGCACGGGCGCGGCAUCGCUCAACGGAUAAAAGGUACCCCGGGGAUAACAGGCUGAUCAUUCCCAAGAGUCCAUAUCGACGGGAUGGUUUGGCACCUCGAUGUCGGCUCGUCGCAUCCUGGGGCUGGAGCAGGUCCCAAGGGUUCGGCUGUUCGCCCAUUAAAGCGGCACGCGAGCUGGGUUCAGAACGUCGUGAGACAGUUUGGUCUCUAUCCUCUGCGCUCGUUGGAAUCCUGAGGAGGCCUGCCCAUAGUACGAGAGGACCUGGGUGGACGAACCUCUGGUAUGCCGGUUGUCGCGCCAGCGGC